rnacentral:lncRNA from 1 species
GAGCCGAGCGCCCCACCCUUCCCGGGAUGGUUGGAAUAGUUGGAGCGGGAGACUAGGGCCUCCGCUGGCGGCGGGAGCGGGACGGGCGGAGGAAUGCGAGCUGAGGAACGGAAUCAGGUUCUAAGAGUGUUGCUCUCUGUUUCCCUCUCACUUGAAUUGCUCAUCCGAAAAUCCUCAAGAUCUGGGAGCCGGGUGGACCAGGAGAUUCUGAAAUUAUAGGCAAAAUCUUGUAUUUGCCUUUACCUAGAUUUUGAGCACAAAAGGACCCUUGCCCUUUACAAUAUUUUCUAAGAGGCCUCUCGGAUUUCCUCAUCACCAACCCCAACCAGGUUACUAACUCAGGGAUUCCAGGGACUAACAGUAAGCCAUCGGAGAGACCAUCAAAUCCCACCCCCUCAUUUGACAGACAGGAAAAGGAAAGCCUGCAGAAGACAGGUGGCUUGCCAGAGAUCACUCGCAGAACUGGUGUUCAAAGAGACUGUUUCUGUUAAACCCAUUUUGUUGCACAAGAGAAGAGCCCCUUCCUUUCAACUUUCCAGCUGGAACCAAGACCAGACCUUUCAAACAAGCCACUUUCAGUAAACGCAAAACAGGAACUAUGUGUCCCAGGCUGGUCUCAAAAUCUUGAGCUCAAGUGAUCUUCCUGACCCAGCCUCCCAAAUCGCUGGGAUUACAGGUGUGAGCCACCAUGCCUGGCCUGAAAAUAGAAUAUUUGGAAAUAAAAUGAUAAAUUCAAUAAAUGAAAUCCCCAAGAUUGGAGGAGACCCUAAACUGAAUGAAAACAGAAAUUAACUCAUGUUACAAAUGAACAACAAAACUGUACUGAAGGAGAAGUGGUAUGGGAAUAGCAAUUAUGACAUUAUAUUGUGCAUAUUAUAGAAUUAAGCAAAUGACAUAUAAAAGAAUGUGGAAGCUAGAGUUCUCACUGUAGGAAAAAAGUAGAUUUAAAUAUGAAUUAGGGAAUACAAAGGAACCUUAGAUGGGUGGAACUGGUGUUAGAGGCAUCAGUAUAAACCCAUAACUUCAUAUACAUUUGUAGAGAUAGAGCUAGAGGUUUGGCCUCUGUGUGUUGAAGGCUUAGAAGCAAUAACACAAUGUAACAAUGAGCAGGCUUGGUACCAAGAUCUUGGUUUCUAAAUAUUAUUCCUCACAACAAAGAAACAGCUUCUUAGAGAAAUGGAUGACUUCAGGGCUGGAACAAGGAAAGUAUAAGCUAAGCUUAAAAUAUCCUAUUGUGAUAGAAAUUAAGGAAGUCCCCUGCCACCCCCAACACCCCAGCAAAAUGAUGGGAAUAUGUCAAAAAACACAGGAGGAAGUUCCAAUUAUGGCUGAGUAAUUCCCAUCACACCAAGUCUUCUGUAAAUAAGAAUGAUAUACUCAGAGCAAAAUAUUAAAGAACAAACAAAAACUACCUGAAGGCAUUAGCAAACAACAGGAGGAAUAUACUGCACAGAGGUGGAUACCUGGAAGAGAAGAGGACUGAAUGGGUUUCCUGUGUUUUUACAGCUUUUAGUCUAAGGGAAGUCCAAAGUCUGCAAAGUGAGUGGUUAAAACAAAGCUGGGGGUAGUGGUGUGCGCCUGUAGUCUCACCUACUCAGAAGGCUGACGUGUGAGGAAACCGUGAGCACAGGAGUUCAAGGCUGUAGAGCACUAAGAUUGUGCCUGUGAAUACCCACUGUAUUCCAACCUAGGCAACACAGUAAGACCUCAUCUCU